AUACCUUUCUCGGCCUUUUGGCUAAGAUCAAGUGUAGUAUCUGUUCUUAUCAGUUUAAUAUCUGAUAUGUGGGUCAUGUGCCCACAACGAUAUUAAAUUUAUUUUUUUAUGGGGGAGGGUCCACCACAGUGGCUUGCCACUGGGGCCCUCAUGUGUUUCCUGGACGUUGCACUACUGUCCAGGCGUGGCGCACCCCAA
rnacentral:snRNA from 1 species